AAUUUAGCAAUGCCUGAAUGUCAUCCCCAGAGAUUCUGAUUCAGUUGAUCCGAAGUGGGACCUGGACAUCUGUAUUUCUUUCAGUUCCCCACGUCAUGCAGCCAAGGUUGGGGACCACUGCUCUAUACUUUCCUGUUCAAGGUGAAGUCUAUGGACCAGCAGCAUCAACGUCACCUGGGAGCUUGUUAGAAAAGCAGGAUCUCUGGUUCCAUCCCAGACCUGUGAAUUCAACUCUGCAUGAAAGGAAUGCAGUCUUACUUGAUGUUUCAGAGGGCAAUUCAAGGUCUUGUCAUCUGUCAAGAUCAUCAAUGUGGUCUUCAAUUUGAAUGUGGCUCAUGAACGUACUAAACAAGAGAUUCCAAGCUGACAGAUGCUAAAAACGAUGAAUUUCCACUUUCCCUUUUUAGAGGUACCUAAUGGGUGGAAGCAUAUCAUGCACUUUUCUGUACCUUGAUGCUUUUCACUUAAGUAAUUUUGGAGAUUCUUCCAGAACAGAACAUGUAGGUCAACCUCAUUUUCAAUGCUGCGUAGUAUUCCAGGUGUGGGUGCAGUUA